CGCUCUCUUCCAGGACAUCAAGAAGCCAGCUGAAGAUGAGUGGGGUAAAACCCCAGACGCCAUGAAAGCUGCCAUGGCCCUGGAGAAAAAGCUGAACCAGGCCCUUUUGGAUCUUCAUGCCCUGGGUUCUGCCCGCACGGACCCCCAUGUACGUACCCGCUGCAUCCAUGGCUACCCAACCAUACCCCUCAAGCCUCUGCUCCCUUUGGGCAAAUUUCCUUCAGAGCCUCAUUUCACACCUGUCACAUUUUAAUCUGCAACUGGCUGCUCUCUCCCCCUCUUUUCCAGGGAUUGGGUUUCUAAUUUCUCCCUCUUCUCUCUCAGCUCUGUGACUUCCUGGAGACUCACUUCCUAGAUGAGGAAGUGAAGCUUAUCAAGAAGAUGGGUGACCACCUGACCAACCUCCACAGGCUGGGUGGCCCGGAGGCUGGGCUGGGCGAGUAUCUCUUCGAAAGGCUCACUCUCAAGCACGACUAAGAGCCUUCUGAGCCCAGCGACUUCUGAAGGGCCCCUUGCAAAGUAAUAGGGCUUCUGCCUAAGCCUCUCCCUCCAGCCAAUAGGCAGCUUUCUUAACUAUCCUAACAAGCCUUGGACCAAAUGGAAAUAAAGCUUUUUGAUGC
rnacentral:lncRNA from 1 species